rnacentral:lncRNA from 1 species
AUUGGCUUGGCUCUUUCCUUUGGAGGCUUUCCUUGAAUUCCAUUUUAAGGUCACUUCUGUCACAUCUGCAAAAGUGGCAUAAUGCUUCUGAGAAUUUAUUCUGAGAAAAUAGUGACACAUGUGCAUGAAGACAUAUACAUGUGCAAGAUUUUCUGAUGUUUGGUAGCACAGUAAAGUAACUACACCCGACAACAAUCUAUAAUACAGCUCAAAAUAUCUAGAAAUAUUCCUAAUUCACAGAAAAAAUAAUGUGUGAAGACGUUGUAAUGAUUAUUACCCUAAUUCGUUCAUUACGCUUGUAUACAGAUAUCAGAUUAUCAUGCUGUACCCCAUAAAUGUGUACAAUUAUUAUGUGUUAAUAAAAAUAUUUUUUAAGAUUGCAAAAACUGGACACAACCAAAAUUUCUCUAUAAAAGAUUAAAUAAAACUUGGUACAGAUUUAUAAUGGAAUACUAAAAAUACAUUUAAAAUGAUAAUGAAGAACUAUAUUUGCU